UACGUAGGGUGCAAGCGUUGUCCGGAAUUAUUGGGCGUAAAGGGCUCGUAGGCGGUCUGUCGCGUCGGGAGUGAAAACUCAGGGCUUAACCCUGAGCCUGCUUCCGAUACGGGCAGACUAGAGGUAUGCAGGGGAGAACGGAAUUCCUGGUGUAGCGGUGAAAUGCGCAGAUAUCAGGAGGAACACCGAUGGCGAAGGCAGGUCUCUGGGACGGUACUGACGCUGAGACGCGAAAGCGUGGGGAGCGAACAGG
rnacentral:rRNA from 1 species